CAAUAAAUAUCCCCACAAUCUGAAAUUUCUGGAUGGAGAUGAAAGUUUCCAGCUGCUAGAAAAGAGAGCUUUUGGCGUUAGCCGUUGUCCUAUUGAGUUAGUAGAACAUGGAGAAGCCAUUGUAGUAAAAUGUAGUGGAGUACCACUUACAAUUGUGGUAAUUGCAGGAGCUUUAAGAGGUCGUACAUGCGAAAUUGAUUGGAGAGUAGUUAGGGAAAAUGUGGGGAAGCACCUUAUACAAGAAGACAAACUUCAGAGAUGUGUGAAUGUUGUGAGACUGAGUUACAAUCAUUUGCCUCAAGAAAAAAAGGCUUGCUUCUUGUAUUUUGGUGCCUUUCCUCAAGGAUUUGAUAUCCCCGCUUGGAAAUUAUUCGACUCUGGAUUGCUGAGGGACUCAUAAUGUCCAGGUUGUCGAGCAACGAAAUUAAAGAGAUAGCAGAGUAUUAUCUCAAUGACUUUGCCAACAGAAACUUAUGGUGAUGGGAAGGACGUCUAAUGAUCGAAUAAAAACAUGUCGUGUUCACGACAUGUUACAUGAGUUUUGCAUUGAAGAGGCUACUAGAUUGGCUCUUUUCAAACAAGUAUGUCUCACAUCUGAUCAAGACAUACAAAACUCAAUUACUUGUCGUCGAGUGUCUAUUCAAUCAUCUGUUCCUCAAAAUUUCAUCUCAAAAAAGACAGUUGAAGAACAUGUUAGGUCAUUGUUAUGUUUUUCCUCAAAACAAAAACAAGUUGACUUUUCUAAUAUCGACGUCAAAUUCUUCCCUAAUGCAUUUCCACUAAUGAGAGUCUUAGACAUUGAAUCCCUCAAGUUUAGUAUUCCAAGGGAAUUUUACCAGCUAUUGCACUUGAGGUAUAUGCACAAACUCUUAUUCUGAAUACUUCCAAGCCCACCCUUGAUAUAAAAGCUGACAUAUGGAACAUGCCACGUUUACGCCAUCUGCGCACCAACAAACCUGCAAUCUUGCCACCCCCUACAAGUGGUAGUAGUACAAAUUCUUGUUUGUUGCAAACUCUAUCUCUGGUUACACCAGAAAGCUGCAAGGGAAAUGUUCUUUCAAAGGCUGGUAAUGUCAAAAAAAAUGAGUAUUGAAGGUAAUUUGACGCCUUUUCUUGAAACUAGCAAGGGUGAAUUUUUCAGCAAUUUUCAAGUGCUAAAGCUCCUGGAAAGUUUAACACUGCUAAAUGAUAAUAAGAGUAAUAAAUCUCUUCACCUUCCGUCAGCAUUCUCCAAAUGUUUACCAAAUUGAAGAAGUUAACUCUGUCAAAAACAAGGUUUGACUGGAACCAGGCAUAUAGAUUGGGGCAGGUGAAAAAUCUCCAGGUCCUAAAAUUGAAAGAAAAUGCAUUCACGGUGAUGUCCUGGAAGAUGGAGCCGGAGGGUUUCAAGAAACUUCAGGUCUUGUGGAUUGAAAUGGCAGAUUUCGUGUCGUGGGAGGCAUCAAACUGUCCCUUCCCAAGACUUAGGAGCCUUGUCCUGAUCUCCUGCCUUAACCUUGAGGUUGUGCCACUUGAGCUUGCCGAUUUGGAUUACCUUCAAGAGAUGACGUUGGACAACACAAGCAAAGCAAGCGAAUCUGCAAGAAAAAUAGAACGCGAGAAAAAGAAGAAGCAAGCUGAUCCAGAAAGCGGCAAAUUCAAGCUCACUAUUCCCUACUGAAGCUGAUUUCAAUGCCACAAAGUGAAGUUGUUAUGAGGAGCGUAUCGAGGCAUGAUGAUGCAUUUGCAGUCUCAGUUCAUCUGAUUACUAGUUCCAAUAAAGAAACUUGUUACAAGUAUUGUUUGUUGAUUCAAACAUUGUCAUGUUUGAAAUCAUUUCCCUGGAUGGUUCUGAAGAUGUUUUAAAUUAAUGAUUUGAGUGUUUUCUUUCAUGUAAACUGUUUUGAACAAGUAUUUUUUGUGUUUUCUUUCGGUAUUGAAUAAUUUGUUUAAUCUGUAGUUAAUAUUUGGAUAUCUAUGUAUUGUUCAAAGACAUGUUAUUUGUUAGUUAUGAAUCUUAUUUCGUGUGUAA